GUUUCGUGCCAGGGUUUCGUGCCAACGUUUGACUGUCCGUAAAAAAAUUUAUAAUUAGUAUUUUCAUUGUUGUUAGAUGAUAAAACAUGAUUAAUACUUUAUGCGUGACUUAUCUUUUUAAUUUUUUCAAAUAAGACGGACAGUCAAACGUUGGACACGGAAACCAGAGUUUGUCUUUUUA
rfam:Oryza nivara chromosome 3, whole genome shotgun sequence.